AGAUGCAAACAAUGAAGGAGUUUUUCUAGGAGUACUGGUGGGUCUGGUGAUUGUGGUGGCUGGAGUUGGAGGCAUCAUAGUUUCCAAAAAAGAAGUGAAAAAAGGCGUCUACCAGGCAACUCAAAUGAUGAAUCUGAUAUGAAUUCUUUAAAUAAAGAUCCUGAGAAAAUGAUAAAACUUAAAAUUAACUUUUGAGACUCUGACAGAACAAGAUCAUCAGCUCUGUGUGUUGGAGCCAUUAAGAAAACUUUAUCUACACUGAGAAAUGAAGGAUUGAUGCAGGUUCAUCACUAAACCAACUCAUGAAGAACAAG